UGGGGAAUAUUGGGCAAUGGGCGCAAGCCUGACCCAGCAACGCCGCGUGAAGGAAGAAGGCUUUCGGGUUGUAAACUUCUUUUGGCAGGGACGAAACAAAUGACGGUACCUGCAGAAUAAGCUCCGGCUAACUACGUGCCAGCAGCCGCGGUAAUACGUAGGGAGCAAGCGUUAUCCGGAUUUACUGGGUGUAAAGGGCGCGUAGGCGGGAAUGCAAGUCAGAUGUGAAAUCUGGGGGCUCAACCCUCGAACUGCAUUUGAAACUGUAUUUCUUAAGUGAUGGAGAGGCAAGUGGAAUUCCUAGUGUAGCGGUGAAAUGCGUAGAUAUUAGGAGGAACACCAGUGGCGAAGGCGACUUGCUGGACAUUAACUGACGCUGAGGCGCGAAAGCGUGGGGAGCAAACA
rnacentral:rRNA from 1 species